rnacentral:precursor_RNA from 1 species
UAUUCCAAGGACACUCUGUUUUUGUAUCUAUACGCAUGAAUUGUGUGUGUUGAUGUCGUCUGACAGGCUGUCUGUGGAAUU